ACCAAGCAAUAAAAUCUGGAUAAAAUCUGCAUAUAAUGAAAAGCAAUUCAAGCCAGGGCCUGCCACAGCACUCCUACUUCUAGCACCUAUGGGCAGAUACCUCCUGGGCCUGAACCUACUGUAAGUAUUUUGGCGAGUGCUUAAACAGCAAUGGUGCUAGGGCAUAGAAUAUGGGCACAUAUGCUUAUAUUUGUACUGAUGCAACCCCCACCACUAGUCUUUGGGAUGAAUAAAGGUGCGUAUGCGUGGAAAGUGAGUCAGGGUAACCUUAAACUUAUUCGGGAAAUUAUUUCCAACACUGGACUCAAAGAAAUGCAACAGUAAGUGCUAAAUGCUCUGGCAGUCUCCGUCUUCAUUAUGCAAACUUUCAAAAUGAAACUUUUCACAACUGUGCACACCCACCUAUAGGUGGUGAGAGACUUUUCAGGGAGUCAAUCCCAGCUCCUGUUGGGCCAGAGAAAUAGAAGUGGACCUAGCAAUUAAGGCCCCAAUCCUCAAAGUUAUUGAGGCUCCUAACUUCCAUUGAGGACAACAUUUUUCUUUUGAACUUUUUUAUUCCAGCUUUGAAAUGAAAAAAACAAUCCCUUUAACUACUGAACCAGUGACCGAUUACAACUAAGCCUGCUUUCUGCUUCAUUUCCACAAAGAGGGGGUCAUUAAUGCCUUUGAUUACACCAGGAGAGCUUCCUUCUCACAAAUCCAUUUAACAACAGCACUGCAGGUUUCAGAAUGAAUCUGCUUCCCUUUUAUCACUCCACAGCUGUUCCUUUCACCAGGGCCGACUACUGGGAACCUGCAGAACAUAGGAGAAACUCAUCAUUUGUGCAUUUGAAUGUAUUAAACAAAUCUACGACAGCUCUUUCACUUCAAGGACACACAUUGUGAUACCUGUCUCUUUCUUCCUUCCCCUCUCUUUUUCCUACAGUGAUAGGUGAUGAGCUGGUGUAUCUCAACAGAAAACACUUGUCUACAUUACCAAAACAACAAGGAGUCCGGUGGCACCUUAAAGACUAACAGAUUUAUUUGGGCAUAAGCUUUCAUGGGUAAAAAACCCACUUCUUCAGAUGCAACAGGUACUAUUAUCAAACCAGUUACUCCAGUUGACCCGGUUGUGGGUGUAAGUCCUGUGUUAAAGCUACAGCAAUCCGCUCUCUUAAUACAAACACAAGGAGGACGCAGAUUUCUUUCUAAAGACCUUGUAUUUCUGCAACCAGAAAGGACCUUCAGCCCAGAGUCAUGCCUAAAUUGAUGGUGGCUAAGCCAAGUUUCUAACGUCAUCUGUCCUCUCUUAUCCUAGCUGUUAGUUCAAAAAACAACAACAACAACAACAAAAACCCCACUCAUCAGCUGAGGAUAAUUUACUCCAGGGGGAAUUCUGCACCACCGCAUACACACAGAAUUCACAUCUCCCGCAGACUUUUUUGCCCCCUACAGAGUAUUAUAUUCUGACAGGGAGGUGCUGCAAUCACACCUUUCACCCACCAGGGGCUGCUGUGGCACCAGAAGAGAGGGCAUCAGCUCAGGGCUGGAGUACCCAGCUGUGGAGAGGGAGGGGCAGAGGCUGCCUUCCUCAUGGUGCCUUGCAUGUGGGGCCAGGUAAGGAGGCACAGGGUAUGGAGGGGGGUGGUGGACAGCCUGGGGCUGCUGGGAAGUCACACAGACUGGGGUUCAGAAGGGGUAGUGGGGGGAACAGACUGGGGCAGGGGCACAGGAGCUAGUGGGGUGACAACAUUGAUCUGGGGCUGAAUGGGAGUAGGGGUGCAGGGCCACAGGGGUGAGGGGGUGUGGCUGAAUGGGCUGGCAGGGACACACUCAGACAGGGGCAGAUGUGCCUGACUGAAUGGGAGAGGCUAGGGGUCACCCAGGGUCUGCACAGGGGAGGCUCCCCAACUCUCUAACAAUCCCUCCCCCUCCCAAAAAAUUGUUUCAUACUUCUCCCACCCACACCCCACAACCCUCCAGGUUCACUACAGACUACUUCCCUCUUCCCCAGUGCCUCCAUUAUCCCUGAGUCUCCCAAGCCUUUGCACUACUUCCGAGGGGUGCGGGAAAUACAUUUAUGUAUUGUAGUUUAAAUUAAUUAUUACUCAAAACUCUGUAUAAAUAUGCUUAGUAAGGAAUUAAUUUGUCAAAAAACAUUUCCUGAAUCUUUUUUGUUGUCUGUAUUGUUACAGACAUACUUGCUGACAGGUAUUUUGAAAUAAAUGACCAAAACAAUUGAAA